CGAUGAAAUCUAUGUGGUCGGAGAAGGUGAAACGCUGCAUACAAUCAGUGAUAAGUGUAGUGAUCCUUAUAUUGUUGAAAGGAAUCCACAUAUUCAUGAUCCUGAUGAUGUUUUCCCUGGUCUUGUCAUCAAGAUAACCCCUGGCUACAAAUCAUAGUUAAUUAUUAACGAGGUUUUGGUUUUCCCUUAAUCCUGCAGCAGACUCUGCGGAGAUUUUUCUCUUGGGAAUCUAAGUGUUAUACUAUCAUUUUUCUUGUUCUGUUUCCCUUUUCAUUUUCUGAUUCGCUGUUGUAAAUAUAUAUCAGGAUAAAAUAAAGAAUAGGAAUAUGGGGUAUGUUUUUUCCCCUGAUAUUACUUGUCUUUCUUUUCUCUCCUACCUACACAUCGUAGUUGAUUAUCCUGUGUAACUGUAACGAGGUUUUGGUUUUCUCCCUUAAUCCUGCAGCAGACUCUGCGGAGAUUUUUCUCUUGGGAAUUUAAGUAUUAGUUUUGUUGUUGUUCUGUUUCCUUUCUCAUUUUCUGUUUCACUGCUGUAAAUAUCAGCAUAUAACGAGGAAUAGGAGUAUAUGUUUUUAUCCCUCUCGUCUUCUUUUUUACUCUCUUUGUUCUUUGUAAAUUGUAACACAGCUGAAUCCUUAUUGUCUUAUAUUUAGACCUUUUCUAUAUAUUUGGCCUUUUUCCGAGAACAAAAAGGUAUUAGGUUUCUCUUACUUUGUUUAUAUUUUAUUACUAAAUAAAUAAAAAUAAAAGGUUUUAAUUAGAAGGAAAAAAAUCACCUAGGCGGAAGUCAUCAUAUCCUCCACUAAUCACU
rnacentral:lncRNA from 1 species